GACGAACGCUGGCGGCGUGCCUAAUACAUGCAAGUCGAGCGAAGUUUUUCUGGUGCUUGCACUAGAAAAACUUAGCGGCGAACGGGUGAGUAACACGUAAAGAACCUGCCUCAUAGACUGGGACAACUAUUGGAAACGAUAGCUAAUACCGGAUAACAGUAUUUCUCGCAUGAGAGAUAUUUAAAAGUUGGUUAUGCUAACACUAUGAGAUGGCUUUGCGGUGCAUUAGCUAGUUGGUGGGGUAAAGGCCCACCAAGGCGACGAUGCAUAGCCGACCUGAGAGGCUGAUCGGCCACACUGGGACUGAGACACGGCCCAGACUCCUACGGGAGGCAGCAGUAGGGAAUCUUCCGCAAUGGGCGAAAGCCUGACGGAGCAACGCCGCGUGAGUGAAGAAGGAUUUCGGUUCGUAAAGCUCUGUUGUUAGGGAAGAAUGGAUAUGUAGUAACUAUACAUGUAAGAGACGGUACCUAACCAGAAAGCCACGGCUAACUACGUG
rnacentral:rRNA from 1 species